GUCCCUCUGAAGACUACAGAUGAAUGUUAUGUUGUGUUUGGUUGGUGGGAAUGGAAUGGUAUGGGCUGGGAAUGAAAUGACCAUUGCUUCUGUAGUGACUUAAAACAGUUAGUCAAUUGGAAUGAUCAUUCCAUUCCUUUAGUUAUUCCCUUUAAAAUCUGAAAGCUAUUUUUCAUUCCUUUCUAAAUAGGUGGGUUUAUUUCAUUCCGUCUAAGCUUCGUUCAUUUUUCCGAUCCAUCCAUCCAUCCAUCGCCAGCUUCGCUCGCCUCUCCUCCAUCACAGGUAUAUAUGUCCCUCUUCUCUCCUCUCUGUUCUCUCUUCUCUUUUCUCUCUCUGUCCUCUAUCUCCUACAUCUAUCAUCUGAAAUUGAUUUUUGUUUUCUAGGGUAAUUUUUCUUCCUUUGCUCUUCUGUUGUUCUCUUUCAAUUCGGUAAGACAUCUAAUCUCAGUUUAUCAUCCAUUUGUGCUUAAUCAAAUCUGAUUUUGGUUAUAUGUGGUGAUUUUGAUGCUCAAUCAAUUUUUAAUUUGGAUAUAUGAGCAUUUUGGCAGUAAUAGCUUUGUAUUUGGUAAUAGGUUGAUCAUGAUUCAUGUGUUAACUUAAUCUGCAUCUGAUUAUUGAAAAUAUAUUGUAUUAUAUUAAAUGUGUUUGCCAUUUAUAUAAUGCUCACUACCUGUUUGUGGAAAUGGCCAAGUGCGUUGCAGCAGUGGGUGUUCCACUUCAUGAACUCAGAAUUAUGCCUAUUGGCAUCCAUAAGAAGAUUAAAAGCUCAACAAUUGGUGUAGGAUUCUGUUUGUGGACAGAAUUAUGCUUAUUGGCAUCCAUAACAAUUGGUGUAGAAUUAUGCCUAUUGCCUAUGGUAACAUUGAAAUGAUUUUGAACAUAGAUGAUGAAAUCCUUAAAUGUAGACAAAACAUGUUUUUUGGUAGGAAGAAGAAAUGCCCAUGUUGCUCUAGAGAAAUCAUCUACAAUAGUCAAGAAAUAUUUGCAACCAUGAAAUGUAGAAAUUUUAUAUGGUCCCCAAAGGUCAUAAUGUAUGAAAUGAAACAAACCAACAGCUAUAGAUUUGCUAGUAUUGAAGGGAAUUUUAGUUUGUUUGGCUUAGUAUUUAAGGGAAUUUUAGUUUGUUUGGCUUAGUAUUCAAGGGAAUUUUAGUUUGUUAUAUGUGGUGAUUUUGAUGCCAAAGGAGACUAGGAACAGUUGCAAUUGAAUGUACUGUUGUGCCUUUAUUAGGAGUUGUGGUGAAGUAGUAUAACCCAUCUUUCAUUCUACCAGUUGCCAAGAUGGUCAUUUGGUGUUGGUCCUGAAACUUGCAUGUAUUUGACAAAAAAUUGACAAAACAGUUAAGAGUCGUGUGUGAGUUUACUAAUAGAAAGUAGGUUAUAGUGAAAUAUAGGAACAUACAAAACAUAGUGUAAAGUCAUAUUAGGAUUUAGCUUGACUGAACCAGACUUUUUAACUGAAAUACAUACUCCAGUAGGAAGGGAAACUUGUGUAGAAGAAGGUAAAUUAGUUAUGGAAUGCAUUAAAUGAAUCCAAACCUCAUAUUGAAUGAAUAAUAUUUGGUUGGAUGGAGUAUUCCAAUUUAUAUCAAUGUAUACUGUUUGAUGUUAGCAAAAAGCACCUUAGCAUCUGUGAAUGUUCCAUGUCUCAUUACACUGGUGGUGCCUCCAUUCCUUUUCUGCUUCAACUUUGGAUCUGUUCAGUCAUCUUUCUUGGAAUCAAGUUUUAAGGUAAUUGUUAAAUUCACAAUACUUUUUGUUAUUUCCACAACAAAAAUGUCGUUAUAGAUGUAUAGCGACGGUGAAAACUGUCACUAUAGGAUUUAUAGUAACACUUUUGUUGUGGAAAUAACAAUUUCUGUUGUGGAUAUAACAAUUCUCUUUUUUUAUUAUUUCAACUAGUGCCAAGUUCAAACAUUUAGUUUCAAUUUCUUGAAAAGAUGCAAUUUGGUGCAACUAUUAUGAUUAACCAAGCUCUAAUUGCAUACAUUUGCAUAUGCUGUUCUUUGCAUUGCAUGUUUUGUAAAAUUGCCAUCCUUAAACCCUAUAUACAUAUGCUUUUAUUUGCAGUACAUGUUUUGUAUUUUGGGACAAAAAUAUUCACUUUCAUUGCAGGUAUGAAUCAAGAUACAAAACCAAAUAAUUUUAGCUUGUUGCAUUCUUCACAGCUAUAUAAGAGCUGAAAUGCCCGAUGAUCCAUUUGAGUUGGCCUUGAGGUUGAAGAGAAUGAGGCGGAAAAUGAACCAGUGAAGACACUAUCACAACUAUUGGCAAUUCGAAUGCGUGGACAACUUUUAGGAACAACCUUGUUGAAAAGAUUUUUAAUGAGUGGAGGAAUGUAAAUAAUUUAGUGAAGUCUUAGCAUAAUUGUCCUAGAAUUUUAACUUUUUAAUAAUCGUACUUUUUAAUAAAAAACGAAGAAAAAAAAAAUUUAUUUCACAUUUUAUUCAUAAUGUAAUUUAUGUAAACCAAACACCUAAAGUAGAAUUAUAAUUCUAUUCUUGAUGGAAUUGAUGGAAUGAAUGAACAAGCCAAACAUAAAAAUGAGAAUAAUCAUUUCAUUUCUG
rnacentral:lncRNA from 1 species